CAGUAGCCGCGGGAAUACGUAGGUGGCAAGCGUUGUCCGGAAUUAUUGGGCGUAAAGCGCGCGCAGGUGGUUUAAUAAGUCUGAUGUGAAAGCCCACGGCUCAACCGUGGAGGGUCAUUGGAAACUGUUAAACUUGAGUGCAGGAGAGAAAAGUGGAAUUCCUAGUGUAGCGGUGAAAUGCGUAGAGAUUAGGAGGAACGCCAGUGGCGAAGGCGGCUUUUUGGCCUGUAACUGACACUGAGGCGCGAAAGCGUGGGGAGCAAACAGGAUUAGAUACCCCGGUAGUCCCUGUCUCUUAUAA
rnacentral:rRNA from 1 species